rnacentral:rRNA from 1 species
CCUACGGGAGGCAGCAGUGGGGAAGAGUGCACAAUGGGGGAAACCCUGAUGCAGCGACGCCGCGUGAGUGAAGAAGUAAUGCGUUAUGUAAAGCUCUAUCAGCAGGGAAGAAAAUGACGGUACCUGAGUAAGAAGCCCCGGCGAACUACGUGCCAGCAGCCGCGGGAAUACGGAGGGGGCAAGCGUUAUCCGGAUUUACUGGGUGUAAAGGGAGCGUAGACGGCAGGGCAAGUCUGGAGUGAAAGGCGGGGGCUCAACCCCCGGACUGCUCUGGAAACUGUACGGCUGGUGUGCAGGAGAGGUAAGUGGCAUUCCUCGUGUAGCGGUCACAUGCGUAGAUCUUUGGCGGCACCCCAGUGGCGACGGCGUCUUACUGGACUGUACCUGACGUUGCGGCUCGACAGCGUGGUGAGCAAACAGGAUUAGAUCCCCCUGUAGUC